GAAGAAUACAUAACUUAUGAUAUGUGUUACAGUGAUUUAGCUUCAACUAUAAUCCAUGUGGUGGGAAAUAUACAAGGAGGCAAAUAUUAUAACAAAGUUACUCUGACCAAAGUCCAGCCUUAAUAAAUUUGUUCUGUUUGUAUCAAAUUGGGGCUAUUAGGUCAUCCCUCUACAGAGCUGGAAGAGUUCAGGGGCUAUUAACCUCAGACUGACCACUGCCUGGAUUAAAUAGCGAGCUCUACGUCAUAAACAAGGGGGGACAGAACAGCCACGUGCUGCUGAGAUAAUCUCCUUCUCAUCCGGAACCCAAAACCCACGGAACCCAAUUUGAUUGGUCAAUUAGCAAAUAGGUGUUAAUGAGGGUCAUAUACAAUGUCACGCAAGCAUGUAUAUUUUGAUAUUAGUUGUAUAGUUUUUUGGUAAAUAUUUGAUUUUAACUUAAGCCGGGGUAAGUAUCCUUAAAAGUAAUAGGUACUCUUGGGCGGAAAUGCGUCACGGGUAAGUGUGCACGAGCUGGGUUGUUUACAAGGAAAGACAUGGUUCCUUUGUUCUGUGUACCCGGUAUGGAUUUAUCGACAUUUAACGGCAUGUGAACCAGGCACAGACUACAGACUGUGCUUCACAUGACGGGAGUUGAAGCCGUGCGGAUUAGUCAGAACCGGGCAGGAUGAUCCCUCUUAUACCAUCUCAGCAUCAGGACCGACCAGGAACGUGUGUUCAACCUGUUCCAUCAGGGUCAAGGUCAGCAAGGGUCUACUGAGGGCUUUUCCAUGCGGGAAAAGGUUGGCGACUUUCAAGUGAGCGUCACUGGCUUUUGAGGAACUGUAAACCCUAGUGGUUGCCGUUGUCUAUUAGACACUAGUGACAUAUCCUCUUGGAUAUGUGAGCUCUGGAUUGAGCUAUACAUAUAUAUAUAUAUAUAAUAUAUAUUUCAGUAUUUGUAUGGAUACCCACUGGCUCUGGAUUGAGCUGUUUCAUACAAUAUUGGAAAGACUGUUUGGCUCUGGAUUGAGCUGUUACAUACAUUAUUGGAAAGACUGUUUGGCUCUGGAUUGAGUGUUUUUUUUCAUCGUGUUGUGAUGCUACAUAGACAUUCUUAGAAUACUUUGUUGAGAGUGUGUGAGAUAGUGAGAGUGUAUGGUUGUAUUGUUGAUAUAUACGUUAUACAUAUUGUUUUCCAUUGUAAAUAAACAUAAUCAUAUUUGUGUAA